UUUGAGAGAUGACGCAAAUCAGAAAAAAGUGUUCAUAAAUCCAAAGUAAAAUACAUGCCCAAAUAUUUUUUUUGACUAUAGUCUGAUCCCAAA